AUUGAACGCUGGCGGCAUGCCUUACACAUGCAAGUCGAACGGUAACCGGCCGCAAGGUGCUGACGAGUGGCGAACGGGUGAGUAAUGCAUCGGAACGUGCCCAGUCGUGGGGGAUAACUGCUCGAAAGAGCAGCUAAUACCGCAUACGACCUGAGGGUGAAAGCGGGGGACCGAAAGGCCUCGCGCGAUUGGAGCGGCCGAUGUCAGAUUAGGUAGUUGGUGGGGUAAAGGCCUACCAAGCCGACGAUCUGUAGUUGGUCUGAGAGGACGACCAGCCAGACUGGGACUGAGACACGGCCCAGACUCCUACGGGAGGCAGCAGUGGGGAAUUUUGGACGAUGGGGGCAACCCUGAUCCAGCAAUGCCGCGUGCAGGAAGAAGGCCUUCGGGUUGUAAACUGCUUUUGUCAGGGAAGAAAUCCUGUGGGUUAAUACCUCGUGGGGAUGACGGUACCUGAAGAAUAAGCACCGGCUAACUACGUGCCAGCAGCCGCCGUAACAC
rnacentral:rRNA from 1 species